rnacentral:guide_RNA from 1 species
ACGAGACAAAAGAUCACUUAGAUUAUUAGAGAUUAAGUUAUAUAGU